GAAUACGUUCCCGGGCCUUGUACACACCGCCCGUCAAGCCAUGGAAGCUGGGGGUACCUAAAGUAUGUAACCGCAAGGAGCGUCCUAGGGUAAAACCGGUAACUGGGGCUAAGUCGUAACAAGGUAGCCGUACCGGAAGGUGCGGCUGGAAUACCUCCUUU
rnacentral:rRNA from 1 species